AUGCACGCUGGCGGUAUGCUUCACACAUGCAAGUCGCACGGACUCUUCGGAGUUAGUGGCGGACGGGUGAGUAACGCGUGAGAAUCUGGCUUUGGGUUCGGGACAACCACUGGAAACGGUGGCUAAUACCGGAUGUGCCGAGAGGUAAAAGAGAAAUUGCCUGAAGAUGAGCUCGCGUCUGAUUAGCUAGUUGGUGAGGUAAAGGCUCACCAAGGCAGCGAUCAGUAGCUGGUCUGAGAGGAUGACCAGCCACACUGGGACUGAGACACGGCCCAGACUCCUACGGGAGGCAGCAGUGGGGAAUUUUCCGCAAUGGGCGAAAGCCUGACGGAGCAAUACCGCGUGAGGGAAGAAGGCUCUUGGGUUGUAAACCUCUUUUCUUAGGGAAGAACAAAAUGACGGUACCUAAGGAAUCAGCAUCGGCUAACUCCGUG
rnacentral:rRNA from 1 species